UUUAAAUGAAGACCAGAACAAAAGAUUAAACGUUUAAAUUWAWAUCUAUACGUAAAAUUUUCAACUUAUCCUAAAUGUAAAAAGACAKKKAUACAAAAGAAAGACGACAAGACCCUAUUGAAUUUGAAUUUAGUUAAAAUGGGGCAGUUAAUUAAUAAUUAUGGUCAUAAAAAUAAUAAAAAAAAUAAUCCAAUACAAUUGAAAAGAUCAAGUUACCAUAGGGAUAACAGCGUAAUAAUUUUCUAAAGAUCCUAUAAAAACAAUAGUUUGCGACCUCGAUGUUGAAUUAAUUACCUAAUUAGAGCAAAAACCAAUUAAGGAAGUCUGUUCGACUUUUAAACAAUUACAUGAUUUGAGUUCAGACCGGUAUAAGCCAGGUCGGUUUCUAUCUUCUACUACUAACUUCUUACAGUACGAAAGGACCCAAGAAAAUAA
rnacentral:rRNA from 1 species